CCUACGGGAGGCAGCAGUGAGGAAUAUUGCGCAAUGGGCGAAAGCCUGACGCGGCAACGCCGCGUGGGUGAUGAAGGCCUUCGGGUCGUAAAGCUCUGUCAGAGGGGAAGAAAUGCAGGUGGUGAACAACCAUUCUGUUUGACGGUACCCUCAAAGGAAGCACCGGCUAACUCCGUGCCAGCAGCCGCGGUAAUACGGAGGGUGCGAGCGUUGUUCGGAAUUAUUGGGCGUAAAGCGCGUGUAGGCGGUUUGUUAAGUCUGAUGUAAAAGCCCGGGGCUCAACCUGGGAAGUGCAUUGGAUACUGGCAGACUUGAGUACGGGAGAGGAGAGUGGAAUUCCCAGUGUAGGAGUGAAAUCCGUAGAUAUUGGGAGGAACACCGGUGGCGUAGGCAGCCCCCGGGGUUGGCACUGACGCUCAUGCACGAAAGCGUGGGGAGCAAACAGGAUUAGAUCCCCUGGUAGU
rnacentral:rRNA from 1 species